AAAAAACCUUGAUAACCUGAAGAAAAAUUAUUUUAGUAUUAGAUUUCUCAGCCAAUGGAAGGAAACCUUAGCCAAAGGCUGGAAACAGAGGCAUCUAGGGCUACAUAGGACAAGCAGGGUAGGAUAUUAAGGAAAAAUUUCUUCUCCUGUGGUAGAACCUGGAGCUGCCCUUUUAGAUAUUAGGACUGAAGCCUUGGGCUCUGACCAGCAGCUUAAAGAGGUGAUGAGUGGAGAGCUGCCCUAGUUCCCUGUUUCUGAUUUCAAAACACCAUUUAACUGGUGCUCAUUUCAGCCAGAGGAUAUUUGCUAAUAUGAAAAAUCUCUCUCAUGUUGUAUUUUUCUGUUUUAUGAUCCUGCUUAGUUUAAGAAAGGUUAUGUGUUGUUUCAUUAAUUUUGCAUAAGAACAAAUACUGUUUUGUUGUAGAAACAAGAUUAAGACAUGGAAUAAUAGUAGAACAGGGAGAAUUAUAAUAGAUAUGGAAUGUAAGAAAACUUUAAAGCAGUAUACCAACAAGAACAAAUGUAUGGAAUAGCAAAAGAGUCUCCAUAUACUUAGAUUACAUGGAGUAAAGGCAGGAUCUUCUUGGGGAAGGGUUAACUAGAGAGGCAGAAUUUCUGUCAGCAUUGUGACUUCAUAGUUAGUAAUUAUCAAUAAGACCUGACAGUGACCAUGGCUGGUCUCAUCUUAGACAUUUGCUGAUAACACCCCAAUAGGGCUCAGGGUAUCCACCAUCUCCUAAUCUGUGAAUUUUAACUAUUGGACCACUUAGAGAACCUGUGCCUCCUUAGCAGACUAUCAGAAAAAGGCUUCAUGCAUUCAGAAAUGAACUUAUGACUUCUUUGACUCUUCUUAAUUGUGAACUAUUUGUUCUUUCUACCACUAUUGAGCUUCUGUAUCUACAUGUUUCAGGAUUGAUGGCAUUCCAUUUCCCUCCUAAUCUUUUGAAGCUCAGAAUUAAGUCUUUUAUUUGAAGAGCAGAAUACCAUUUUGCAUUGGUAUACAUCAAAAUUGAUGGAUCAGGAAAGCAGCACCAACGAGAAUGUGGGUAAGUCUAUGUCCUACACUAAUUUGUACUUAUUUGUAAAUGUUUUUAAAUCCUUUUUAGGUGUGGAAAACAUAAUUUUCUCCCAACUAGAUUGAAAACUCCAUGGGGGUGAAGGGAUUCUGCCCUGUUCUGUAUUUCUGUUGUAUUAUAGGAAUACUUUGCCUUUGGAUAGCUCCUUUUAUUUGUUCAGAGAAUUCUCUAGUCUAUUGGUUGACAUCUCUUUUUGCCUAGAACAUCACUCUCUCUAUCCAGUAUUUAGUCAGUAAGAGUGAUUGGCUGAUUGACUAUGAAAUAUCCUAUGAUGUACUAAGAAUGAGGAAAUCUUUCCUUGCCUUUUUAAAGAGUCAGAGUAGUUGAGUUUCUGGUCCAUAGUUUUAUUGGUAUCUAGGAAUGUAAAUGAUCAAAUACUUGCUUACUUCAGACAAACUCAUUUGAAAAGAAUUGCCUGCUGACUGCUGAUUUUUACCUCUUGUAAGUGUUUACCAAUGUUUAUUAUAAUUCCCUUUCUUUAUCUGCCUCCUUCAAUCCCAAAUCCAGGUCCAAAGAGGGAAAAUAGGUUAUCUAUAUAUUAUCCUGAUAAAGGAGUAGCCUAUAUAAGCAAUUAGAGAUAUAAUAGUUAAGGAAUAUAGGGAUGAAGUUACUUUUUCAAACUUUCAGAGGGAAUCAAUAGAAUUGGAUUGGGAUCUUAUAACCUCUGGCCUGCUUUCUAUAAGAAAGUGCUGAUAAAUGUAGCUUUAGCUAAUUAAGAAAUAAAACCCCCACCCCAUGUAAAAAUCUAAAUCUG
ensembl:lncRNA